rnacentral:rRNA from 1 species
AUUGAACGCUGGCGGCAGGCCUAACACAUGCAAGUCGAGCGAGCGGCGGACGGGUGAGUAAUGUAUGGGGACUGCCCGAUCGAGGGGGAUAACUACUGGAAACGGUGGCUACUACCGCAUACUAUCGGAUAACCCAUAUGGGAUUAGCUAGUAGGUGGGGUAAAGGCUCACCUAGGCGACGAUCUCUAGCUGGUCUGAGAGGCUGAUCAGCCACACUGGGACUGAGACACGGCCCAGACUCCUACGGAGGCAGCAGUGGGGAAUAUUCGGCAAUGGACGCAAGCCUGACGCAGCAAUGCCGCGUGAAUGAAGAAGGCUUUAGGGUUGUAAAGUACUUUCGGUGGGGAGGCGGUACCCGCAGAAGAAGCAACGGCUAACUCCGUGCCAGCAGCCGCGGUAAUAC